UUAAAAAUGUGAUGAGACCCUGGAAUGAGCGCUGGGCACGGCGCCCGAGCCAGACUGCGGAAACGUUCCUUGCUAAAA